AGAGAUGUCCACCUCCUGAGGCCCAGACCCUCCCAGGGAGACCCAUUUUGGACUUGUGACCUCCGGGACGAGAACCUGGUGCCUGCCUCAGCCCUAGCUCUGGGGAAAUGAAAGCCAGGCUGGGGUUCAAAUGAGGGCAGUUUCCCUUCCUGUGGGCUGCUGAUGGAACAACCCCAUGACGAGAAGGACCCAGCCUCCAAGCGGCCACACCCUGUGUGUCUCUUUGUCCUGCCGGCACUGAGGACUCAUCCAUCUGCACAGCUGGGGCCCCUGGGAGGAGACGCCAUGAUCCCCACCUUCACGGCUCUGCUCUGCCUCGGGGACCCUGGAGGCUCGGGAGUACCGUCUGGAUAAAGAGGAAAGCCCAGCACCCUGGGACAGACAGAACCCACUGGAGCCCAAGAACAAGGCCAGAUUCUCCAUCCCAUCCAUGACAGAGGACUAUGCAGGGAGAUACCGCUGUUACUAUCGCAGCCCUGUAGGCUGGUCACAGCCCAGUGACCCCCUGGAGCUGGUGAUGACAGGAGCCUACAGUAAACCCACCCUUUCAGCCCUGCCGAGUCCUCUUGUGACCUCAGGAAAGAGCGUGACCCUGCUGUGUCAGUCACGGAGCCCAAUGGACACUUUCCUUCUGAUCAAGGAGCGGGCAGCCCAUCCCCUACUGCAUCUGAGAUCAGAGCACGGAGCUCAGCAGCACCAGGCUGAAUUCCCCAUGAGUCCUGUGACCUCAGUGCACGGGGGGACCUACAGGUGCUUCAGCUCACACGGCUUCUCCCACUACCUGCUGUCACACCCCAGUGACCCCCUGGAGCUCAUAGUCUCAGGAUCCUUGGAGGGUCCCAGGCCCUCACCCACAAGGUCCGUCUCAACAGCUGCAGGCCCUGAGGACCAGCCCCUCAUGCCUACAGGGUCAGUCCCCCACAGUGGUCUGAGAAGGCACUGGGAGGUACUGAUCGGGGUCUUGGUGGUCUCCAUCCUGCUUCUCUCCCUCCUCCUCUUCCUCCUCCUCCAACACUGGCGUCAGGGAAAACACAGGACAUUGGCCCAGAGACAGGCUGAUUUCCAACGUCCUCCAGGGGCUGCCGAGCCAGAGCCCAAGGACGGGGGCCUACAGAGGAGGUCCAGCCCAGCUGCUGACGUCCAGGGAGAAAACUUCUGUGCUGCCGUGAAGGACACACAGCCUGAGGACGGGGUGGAAAUGGACACUCGGG
rnacentral:misc_RNA from 1 species